rnacentral:rRNA from 1 species
CUACGGGAGGCUGCAGUGAGGAAUAUUGCACAAUGGGGGGAACCCUGAUGCAGCAACGCCGCGUGGAGGAUGACGCAUUUCGGUGUGUAAACUCCUUUUAUAUGUCAAGAAAAUGAUGGUAGCAUAUGAAUAAGCACCGGCUAACUCCGUGCCAGCAGCCGCGGUAAUACGGAGGGUGCAAGCGUUACUCGGAAUCACUGGGCGUAAAGGACGCGUAGGCGGGUUGGAAAGUCAGGUGUGAAAUCCUACAGCUUAGCUGUAGAACUGCACUUGAAACUUCUAAUCUAGAGUAUGGGAGGGGGAGAUGGAAUUAGUGGUGUAGGGGUAAAAUCCGUAGAUAUCACUAGGAAUACCUAAAGCGAAGGCGAUCUCCUGGAACAUUACUGACGCUAAGGCGUGAAAGCGUGGGGAGCAAACAGGAUUAGAUACCCGCGUAGUC